rnacentral:misc_RNA from 1 species
GGGCAGCCUAGUUGGUCACCACCUUGGUCUUAAGACCAAAUGGUGGGGGAGGUGUGGGGUUCGAAUCCCACGCUCCUCGAAAAAGUGGUGUCUGGGUGAUUUAUUCCCAAACUAGACCCAUAACCCUGUCCUAGUAAAACCCUUUACUAACACUAGCCCACUAGCAGUGCAGGCUUCUAUGGGAGCAUACCUAAUAACUGUAAUCUAUUCAGAAAAAAAAAAUCGUAUUUCACAACUGCAAAAAUGGCUGCUGGCUUUGUAAUUACAUCAUUAAUCAAUGUGCACCUUAUUAUGGAUAGGAUCCUUGAUCCUGUCCAAUCAAGCCAAAUAGUCUUUAUUUAUUGGGUGAAGUUUGUAAAGUCAAGUCCUAUUAACUUCAACCUUAGUUCAAAGGAUUUAUCUGGCUUUAGUAUGUGAUAAAAGUAUUCUAAACCUCUGCCAUGUUUUUGAUCAUGAUGACUCUUGUUUCCGUAUACAUGCAGUAGCAAAGGGUAUACCUAUUUAUCUCCUUUAAUGAAAUGAAAAUGAAUUGCUUUUUUCUUUUUUUCCCACUCUGAACAUAUGGCCCAGUGUACGAUGCUAUUAUUUUCUGGUAAACUGUUAUUUCUGAUUAGUGCAGUGCUUCUGUUUUAUAAAACCUGUUCUAAUGCGAAGAACAAUGGGCCAUUCCCAUGCAAUAACAUUGCAAAUACCCUGUCGUCACUGCUUUUGCCAUCAAAGCAUGCAUAACCGAUAUGCAUGUCAGCCUGUUGGGUCAUGAUCCAAGUAAUAGCAUCACCCGAUUUAGUUUCGGACUUGGAUCGUGACCCAACAGGCGAACAUGUAUCUGCAUGAUUCAAACUCAAGUCAUUUUCCUUGGGCUACAAUGUAUUUUCUAAUUGUUUUAUUGCACUUGCAUUAAAAGAAGCAAACUUACAUUGGUGAACUUAUAUACAAAGCAGAAUUUAUGGUAAAAAUUAUAUUACACAUGAAACCUCCAGUUGCCAUAAUCUUCCCAUCCUUGUAGUUCAUUCGUGAUCCUGCUCUUGUAUGAUCUCCUAGAUCCAUCUUGUGCAAUACUUUUAACAGAAACAUGCAGCAGAAGAACAAUAUGUUUAGUUCACCGGACAACCAUCAACCUUUAUGCCUUUGGCUGUUGGACAAGAUGCUAAAUCACAGUGUUCACCAUAUGUACCCCACCAAGUUAAAGUUCUGUUUUCCAUGCCAACAGAAAAGUACAAUAGCACUGCCAUGAGAGCCACCUCUGCAUCCACUGCUGCUGAAAGAAUGUAAUUGUACCUUUGCCACCACUGCUUCCAGUCGGGGAAGAUGAAGAAAUUAAAAAUUGUUCCAACUAUGAUCCAGGAAUUGUAGUUUACUGUUGUUGCUGGAGGCAACAUUCCAGAUGCUAGAAGAACUGGAAGGUUAAUCAGGGGAAUCCAAGAUUGCUUUGGGAAUAUCUUGUGUAAUAGCCAAAGUAUAACUGGUCCUGGUGCACUUCCAAGGAAGAGCGAAUUCAUGGCUUGAUAAUUUCCAAGACUUCCAAAUAUCCGUUUAGGUCCUACGAGACCCCAUAUGAUAGAUGCAUCAAAGAAUACUGUGUCACCUGGGCAUCUCCAAGGACUGUCAGGGGGAAGCAGAUCGUCCUGGCAUAUGUUAUUAAUGGAAUUUAGCU